AAUGGGAUUGCUGGAUCAAAUAGUAUUUCUAUGUCUAGUGUUUUGAGGAACCUCCAAACUGUUUUCCAUACUAGCUAUACUAAUUUACAUUCCCACCAACAGU
rnacentral:pre_miRNA from 1 species